CCGCACGAGCGCACCCUUAUCCUUAGUUGCCAGCACGUUAAUGGUGGGAACUCUAAGGAGACUGCCGGUNGUACAAACCGGAGGAAGGNGGGGACGACGUUCAAGUUCAUCAUGGCCCUUACGAGAUGGGCUACNCACGUGCUACAAUUGGCAAGUACAAAGGGUUGCAAACUCGCGAGAGUAAGCGGAUCCCNUAAAGCUUGUCGUAGUCCGGAUUGGAGUCUGCAACUCGACUCCAUGAAGUCGGAAUCGCUAGUAAUCGUGGAUCAGAAUGCCACGGUGAAUACGUUCCCGGGCCUUGUACACACCGCCCGUCACACCAUGGGAGUGGGCUGCUNAAGAAGUGGAUAGCUUAACCUUCGGGAGGNCGUUCACCACUUUGUGGUUCAUGACUGGGGUGAAGUCGUAACAAGGUAGCCGUAGGGGAACCUGCGGCUGGAUCACCUCCUU
rnacentral:rRNA from 1 species